UCUUGGCUCUGCUAUCAGCCUGCUGGGGGACUUAAGGGCAGGUGCUUCAGUUUCCUCAUCUGUCACAGGGCAUGCAGAUGCCAACUCUGUCUCCCUCACAGGUCCCUGUGUGUAACUGGACAAGGGGUGAGGUUGCUCGUUACAUGGCAGAGACAGGGAAUACAACCUCCCCGGUCCGCAGCUCCUGUGGCUCUCAGGAAAGAGAAGCCUCCACACUUGGCACCUGUGGGAACCCAACCCUGGCUGCCCACCCCAGCAGAGGGUAAGCUCCGUGCCAGCUCACUGAUUCUGCACAGAUUGAAGGAGCGCCCAGCAUUUAGCACAGUGCCCAGCCACAGGAGGAACUCAUCUGGUCCACCAAUGAGUGAGUCCAUGAAUGAAUGUGGUUGGUAUCACAUGCCUCUGCUCUUCAGCUUGGAAACUGAGGAAAAAUAACGUGGUAUCACCUGGCCAAAGUCCCACUUAUCAGAACCAGAAAUUACACCUGGUUAUACCUGGUUCUGCCCCAUACCUGGAGGCAGAAUCCUUAUUCAUGGGAGCCAAUUGCAUGCUCCCAAUGAUGGUGUUUUACUCCCUUAAAGGGCAGCAAGGGAAGCCAGUAGAGGUCCUUAUGUUGUUCCAGACAAUAGUCUGUGACGUACAGAUGUCCCUAACACUUCUCCUGUCCCCAUUUAGUUCCAUUUACUUCCUGGAACUAAAUGACUGGGUUCCAGGAAGACACUGCAGCAGACUCUGGCAGCCCCUGGCAAAUGGAGAAGCUCAUCUCUAAGCUUGACAGAGCAGAGGCUGCUGGGACUCCACCCAGACUCAAUUCUCCCUCCAUGCCCAUUCCUAAUCUUAAGCAUCUUCCUCAGGUAGUAUAGGCCCCACUUCCCCCAGGAAGCCCUCAGCAUUUUCCCUCUCUUCUGAGUAUUGUAAACUGAGCAGUGUGGGGCUCUCCUGGAGCUCUAUGAGCAGAAGGAGAUGUAGGGACCUGCUUGCCCAGCCCUCAUUUGAUACAUGAAUUUAUAGAAGGUCAGAGAGGCCAGGUAACCUGCCAAAGUCAUACAACUGAUGACCUGACUGAUCGGCGACAAUUGAUGCAAUUUUUGAAAUUUUGAGUAUUCUAAAAUUUAAAAAAAAUUACCACUUUGAGGACAAGGGAAAAUGAACAACCUCAGGAAAUGUGGUAAUAGACAUCAAAAUAAUGCAUACUUUUAAAAAAGAAUGCAUCCUUUUGACCCUCAGGAUGCAAUUUGAAAUGCGUGCAAAGAUUUAUGUGCAAGGGUGCUCAUCACAGCCUUGUUUAUGAGGGCAAAAGACUGGAAAUAGCUUAAAGGUCCAACACAGAGAUUGGUUAAAUAAAUUAUGGGGCAUCCAUGUGAUGGAAUACCAUGCAGCCAUUAAAAAUGAUGGCCCAGUAAAAGAAUAUUUAACGACGUGGGGAAAUGUUCACUAGAUACUGUAAAGGGAAAAAAAAAACCAGGCUGCAGAACAGCAUGUUCUAUAUGCCUCUGACUUUGCUAAAACAAUUAUUAAAAAAGAAAGCCCAGAGCCCCUGAAGUUAUUUAUGAUAUUGUCCCACCGCCUCCAAGACAUCAGCCUCAUGAAUUCCUAUUUCAGUAUGGCUCAGCAGAAAGCAUGGGAAUUUAAUGUCUGAAGGCCUGAUUCGGAGUCUGGGCUGUGCUCGUUAUUAAUGGGGUGACCUUGGAGCUCCAGACCUCGCUUUCCCUCAUCUGUAAAAUGGGGAUAAGAGUCCUCCAUUAGAAUGGUGUGGAAAGAUACCAAAUGUUGCACAAAUGAUAUUCAAGGGUAGUGUGUGCACGCAUGAAAGAUCCUGGUAAACCCUACAAAGCUGUACAGAUAUUCAGAAUAAUGGGUAUAUUCAUUCCCUAAUUAAACGUAGGACUCUGUGAGGGCCCCAUGAGAUGUAUCAGUCUUCCCUGUCACUCUGCAGCCAGUGCAGUGGCUCACACACUGCUGUGCACAGAAACAUGGGUGGGCCUGCCCCCCACCCCGAAGCCUCAGGCCUGCCCUUCCACCCCUUCGGUACAUCUCUGCCUGCCCGGGGCUGAGCUUAGCAUUGCCUACACACAGAGGAAGAAUGCAGCUGUGGGCGAUGCUGUGGCUGGGGCUAUCCAGCAUGUUCCCAGCAUCCCUGCUUCCCCAGCCCCUGCAGGACCAGGGGAGUGGCCGGAUGUGGAGAGUGCAUCAGGUGUGGUUCCAGGGCUGAGGCCUAGCCAGAAGGCAACAGGCCCUCAGCACCUAGUACAGACUUUAUCUGACUCCUAAGGGUGUCUCAGGGCUAAAGGGGGGUUGCCUGCCUGCCACCUGUGGAGGACUUGGGUCAGGCUGAGACUGGGCCUGCUCUCUCCUCUCCCACCACUCCCUCACAGUGGAGGAUGGGCCAGCAACAUCUCCUCUCUGUGUUUUUGCUUUCUCCAUUGCCUCACAGGCCCCUCCUGGAGGGGCUGGGGAAAUUUUUACCCACUCUCUGAGGGAGGAAAGUGAGCCCCACUCAGGGGAGUUGGCCUGCUCUGAAUCCUGUGGUCACUUAGUUAAGCCCCCAGGCCUAGCUCUGCCCCCUGGCCCUCUGGCCCUCUGCACCAGCCCCUCAGUGGAGGGAGGGACUUCAGGCAACAGAGUCAGGAACUUGGGGGGCACUCAGGGAGCAGUCCUAGGCACUCAUAUUUUUGAUUCAUCGUUCUCUCUCCACAUGCUUUGCAUGCUUUUGCUGUGUGCGGCUCCAGGCUAGAUAGAGGCUGGAAUUGUUUUGGGGGAAAGUGGUAGAGGAAGAGACUGAUACAUAUGUCUUUCAAGCAUAUGGAAAGAAAAUAAUAAAAGAGGCCCAGCAUGAUGAGAAGAUGCUGCAGAAGGUGCUGCUGGGCCUCACCCAGGCCUCCCUUUGCCUGAAGAUGGGCCCCUUCCCCAGCUGCUGCUGGGUGACCAGCGCUUACAACUCCAAAGACUUCCCUAGGGGCCGGAGAGCUGCUGCCCACAGAAAGCCAGCAGGUGACAGUCUCUUCUCCUGUCAGCACCUCUUACUUGGCCCUGUCCAUAAACAGAAGAACUUCACUGUGCCAUGAUUUACUCUCCAAAGGCUCCCAGUGAGUCAGGUCAAGGCCAGGCCUUCCCCAAGACCUUCCCUUGCCUUCCUAUCCUGCUCCCCUGCCUCCCAUGAGGGCUUCACUGAGGAAGCGCUGCUGCGGAAAAUCUUGUGUCCUGAAUCCUUGCCUCAGGCUCUGCCUUGAGGGAACAUGUCAUGACGACUCAAAGCCUGUCAUGCCUUAGCUAAAUAUAACAGGCAUAGACACUACACUUGGAGGCUCUACCCUAAAUAGAACAGCUUCCAAGCACAUUAAUUUUAGAGAGAAAAUGACUUGAUCCUACCAGAAAACAUACUAAAGGCUGGACUGAACGUGAAACCUAGAAAUUCUCUGGUUGUACAAGCCUGGCUGGAGCUAACAUACAAUCACAGCAGAUGCACAUGCAACAAAGAUUAGGUCUGAAGGUGUGUGUGCUGCACACGGAGAAAACACGGACCAAACUUUGGCAUGGCAUGUUCCAGGCAGUAUCUACUGGACUCUGACCUAUGGCUGGUCAAGUCUGCACCCAGCCUCCGACAGCCCCUUGCUGGGCCAGCACCCCAGAGUCCUUCUGAGAUCUUGCUCCUAAACCCACAGGGAAUUCUCCUGGUCACAGGGUAUGUAUGGCUGGUGGCUUAGGAAGCAUCAAGUGCAAUGUUUUUGCCCCAAUCCCUUCUCAUCGCCUUUCAAACCUCAGCCUCCUCCAGGAAGCCCUUAGAAGUUCCAUCUUCAUAUUUCUCCCUCCCUGACUGUCAGCAGGCUUCAGCUGGCUCCAGUAUGAGCAGCUGGGAAUGGAGUGACCUGGAGAUUGGCACACUUUUUGGCCCCACCCUUGUGCACAGGAUGGGGACACAGUAGAAAGGAAAUGCUAGAGAAAUACACACUUUCAGGGCUGGAUGACUUGGGCCACCAGACAUGCCAUGAAUUCCUGGUCAUCCUUCAGGUCACAGGGCAGACGUCCUCUCAAGUUAGGCACCCUCCUCUGACCAUAGGUCCAGUGUCUAUUGCUCUGCAGGCUGGAGCUUUAUUGGCCCUGCUCUCUGUCCUAUCCUAGUGCCCAGGACAGAGCCUGGUACAUAGAAAUCACUCAAUCAAUGCUUGUGAAAUGGAAGAACAUCUUGAGAAGUGACCCACACCCAGACAAAGGGUGGAUACUGCACGCAGACAAGCCUCAUGUCUUCCUCACAUGUACUGGGCCAAAGACAUGUGAUGAGAAGAGGCUAUAAAGCAAGGCUGCCAGGGCCUCAGAGGCUUGCUUAGGCUGCCACAAGGGAGAAAGUUUAUCUCAGGAUGUCAAGAUAAACCUUGUUCAGGAUUCCACCUGAAUGAGCCUAAUAACAGCAGCUAUCACUUCCUGUGAUCACGACUGUGCACCGGGCACUGGCUAAGCAUUUCCUACACACGAGUUUACCAUUGCAAAGAAUAGGAAGUAGCAAGUUUUCAUACUCAUCAUCUAACCUCCUUCCCUGUGGCCCCUCUGGGACACCAACCCAUCCUUAUUAUGUCAAGUGAGUAGGUGAAGGGCAAUUCCAGGCAGUCACCAGCACACACUAAGGCGGGGUACGGGCAAAUCUUUCCUCUUCCCACUCUAGGGACAGUCAGGAGGAGAGCUGAUACCAGACACCCUCCUAGGACUUCGGAUACCCAGGAGGUGAAGCUGGGAUGGAUGGAGUGGGGAGUGGUGAUAUCACAGCAUUGGUAGGAGCCUUUGUGAGUUGGGGUUCCAGCAGGAAACGUGGUAUACCCUUAGGGACUAAUGGAGGACAAUUCCAAGAGGACAGUGAAUUAGUGCAUGAACAGGGAUAAGGAAAACCAACAAGGGUGAUACAGCACCCCGAUGCUAACAGUGGGAGCUCUCACCACCCCAACCUGAGGGGCAAAGGGAAGUCUUCUCUGUAGAGAAGCUGAAGGAGUAACCGCAUAGUGGAACCUAUGGCCUUGGUAGAAGGGCCCAUCCAAGGAGCUUUUGCCCUUCGUUCUGUGUCCUGCCACCCUCGGUCCUACUAGGCACCUCGUAGGUAGUGGGUGGUGGCAGUGAGUGCACACUGUCUAGCACAUGGUCAUUGCUAGUUUGCUGGUUUCUGUUUCUUACAUUUUCUUGGAAAUCUGUUGAUUAUCUAAGUUUCCCUGCAGCCUUUCAGGAGAUCCUGUUUUGCUUAAGUUAGCUAGCGGUGCUUUCUGUUGCUUGCAACCACAAACUUUACAAGGCAUUAUAUUAGUCUGUUCUUGCGUUGCUGUAAAAAAUACCUGAGACUGAGUAAUUUAUAAAGAAAAGAUGUUUAAUUGGCUCAUGGUUCUACAGGCUGUCCGAGAAGCAUAGCAGCUUCUGCUUCUGGGGAUGCUUCAGAAAGCUUUCCAAUCAUGGCUGGAGGCAAAAAGGGGGUGAGGCAUCUCACAUGGUGAGAGCAGGAGCAAGACAGAGUGAGGGAGGAGGUGCUACACACUUUUAAACAACCAGAUCUUAUGGGAACUCAUAGCAACACCAGGAAGGAUGGUGCUAAACCAUUGAAGAGAAACCGCCCCCAUGAUCCCCUCACCUCCCACCAGACCCUACCUCCAGCAUUAGGGAUUACGUUUCAACAUGAGAUUUGGGUGGGGACGUGGAUCCAAAUCAUGUCAGGCAGCAUGCUAGUAUUAUUCCCUUUAGCAAAUAAGGAAACUGAGGCUCCCAGAAGUUUUGGUGCGGUCAGAUCAUACAGGCUGGCAGUGGCCUGCAUGAGUCAGGUUGUGAAGGCUGCUCUGGGUGUGGUUAAAGCUCUUAGCAUAGAGCAGCUGGCCCCAUGGGGAUCUAGAAGGCUGUUGGUCCCAGGCAGUGGAGGGCCUGGCUCACCCCUUUGUCAGAGGCAUUUAAACCAGAGCAACUCCAUCUUGAAUAGGGCCUGGGUAAAAUGAGGCUAAGACCUGCUGGCCUUCAUUCCCAGUAAGUUAGCAUUCUAAGUCACAGGAUGAGAAAGAGUUGGCACAAGAUACAGGUCAUAAAGAUCUUGCCUAUAAAACAGGUUGCAGUAAAGAAGCUGGCUAAAUCCCACCAAAACCAAGAUGGUGAUGAGAGUGACCUCUUGUCAUCUCACUGCUACACUCCCGCCAGUGCCAUGACUGUUUACAAAUGCCAUGGCAAUGUCAGGAAGCUACCCUAUAUGGUCUAAGAAGGGGAGGAACCCUCAAUUCCAGGAAUUGCCCACCCCUUUCCCUGGAAAACUCAUGAAUAAUCCACCCCUUGUUUAGCAUAUCAUCAAGAAAUAACCACAAAAAUGGGUAACGAGUAGCCAUUGUUUAGCAUAGUAAACAAUCGUAGCAUUGUUUAGUAACCUUGUUUAGCAUACAGUCAAGAAAUAACCAUAAAAUGGGUAACCAGUAGGGCUAUGGAAUAGCCAUUCUUUUAUUCCUUUACUUUCCUAAUAAAUUUGCUUUCAGUUUACUGUAUGAAGCUGCCCAGAAUUCUUUCUUGUGCGAGAUCCAAGAACCCUCUCUUGGGGUCUGCAUUAGGCCCUUUCCUGGUAACACUUUCAGCACGAGUAAGGAUUACGGCUCGGCCAUACCCACCUCGUGUUUGCUUCUCUCUGCGUCUGGCCGACCACUUUUCUUCCUGUCGCUGACUGUCCAACCACUUGUGGCACCGGAGCAGCUGACAGGCAGAGUCACACCAUGCCACAUAGGGCCUCAUGCAAGGAACGGGCCAGAGCAGGGCUGGGUGGGGAAGGUGACUUGGACAGUUGAGUUUGAAUAAACAGGUCACAAUGGUGUCGUGGAGGUGGAGGCGGAGCUUAUGGGAACAGGGAGGAAGGAGGCUGUGGGUGGGCCCAAACUGGCCCUGCCUGGAGGGAAGGCCUGAGGCUAGGGGUGAGGAGUCCCCACACAUCUGCCUUUCU